GAAGGAAUAUUGGACAAUGGGCGAAAGCCUGAUCCAGCAAUACCGCGUGAAUGAUGAAGGCCUUAGGGUUGUAAAGUUCUUUUAGUAGGGAAGAUAAUGACGGUACCUACAGAAAAAGCCCCGGCUAACUCCGUGCCAGCAGCCGCGGUAAGACGGAGGGGGCUAGCGUUGUUCGGAAUUACUGGGCGUAAAGGGCGCGUAGGCGGAUUAGUAAGUUGGAAGUGAAAUCCCGGGGCUUAACCUCGGAAUU
rnacentral:rRNA from 1 species